rnacentral:rRNA from 1 species
GACGAACGCUGGCGGCGUGCUUAACACAUGCAAGUCGAACGGAAAGGCCCCCUUGUGGGGUACUCGAGUGGCGAACGGGUUAGUAACACGUGAGUAACCUACCCUUGACUUUGGGAUAACUUCAAGAAACUGGGGCUAAUACCGGAUAGGAGCUCCUGCUGCAUGGUGGGGGUUUGCAAGUUUCGGCGGUUGGGGAUGGACUCGCGGCUUAUCAGCUUGUUGGUGGGGUAGUGGCUCACCAAGGCUUUGACGGGUAGCCGGCCUGAGAGGGUGACCGGCCACAUUGGGACUGAGAUACGGCCCAGACUCCUACGGGAGGCAGCAGUGGGGAAUAUUGCACAAUGGGCGGAAGCCUGAUGCAGCAACGCCGCGUGCGGGAUGACGGCCUUCGGGUUGUAAACCGCUUUCGCCUGUGACGAAGCGUGAGUGACGGUAAUGGGUAAAGAAGCACCGGCUAACUACGUG